rnacentral:rRNA from 1 species
UAAGGAAUAUUGGUCAAUGGACGGAAGUCUGAACCAGCCAUGCCGCGUGGAGGAUGAAGGCGUUAUGCGUUGUAAACUUCUUUUAUAUGGGGCGAAAAAAGGUCUUUUUAGAUCGUCUGACGGUACCAUAUGAAUAAGCACCGGCUAACUCCGUGCCAGCAGCCGCGGUAAUACGGAGGGUGCGAGCGUUAUCCGGAUUUACUGGGUUUAAAGGGAGCGCAGGCGGGUCUGUAAGUCAGUGGUGAAAGCCCUCAGCUUAACUGAGGAACUGCCAUUGAUACUAUAGGUCUUGAAUAUUGUUGAGGUAUGCGGAAUAGGUCAUGUAGCGGUGAAAUGCAUAGAUAUGACCUGGAACACCUAUUGCGAAGGCAGCAUACUAAGCGAUUAUUGACGCUGAGGC